AGAAGGCAUCGGGUUUGAAUCACAGAUGUCUCGAUCUGCAGUCGAAUGCUCUACCACUGAGUUAUUCCUCU